CUGAUUGGGGAUCGUAGUUGCCAUAGAGUGUUGACUCAGACCGAUUUGGACCAAUCACUGUUCACUGAUGUUCUCUGGCUCCAACAUGGCGGCGUCUAUACUGGGAAAAUAAUGGCGACUGAACUGACUUCAUUUCGUUGGAGCUAGAAGGUCUAUAUUUUAUCUAUCCAAAAGUCUAAUCUUAAUAAUAAUCAUUGAUAAUUCUCUUUUUUUGAGACAUUUUUUUCAGUAGUGCAAAUUAUUCAAGUGAUAAACGGACCAAUCAGGUGCCUCGAUAAAAAUAGGUUAGUAGUUCAAACCAUUUGGCAGAUUUUGUGCUGCUCUGUGGCGCUCACUUCUGAUUGGUCAGAGCAAUCAGUGCUUACUGACUUCCUCUGGCUCCAAAAAUCGUGGUUUAAGAAAAAAAAAAUUGACUUAAUGUAAUUGGAGCCGGGAGUAAAAAUGUUUCAAUGGGUGACGUCACAUUCACUCGCUGCAGUUCAAAACGAACCAGGAAACACUCAGAAAUGUUGUUUUAAUGUAAAUUAAUUGAUAUAGGUCAUCUAUCAUGACAAAAUUACUAUAACAUGAUAAAAAAAAACAAAUUUCAUUGGAAUGGUUCUAUAACAAACAGAACUCCACUAAAAACAAGGCCAUGAGUCAAGGCAGGCAGGUGAGGCUCACCUGCAAAAUACAGCGUAGAAAAUGAGUAAUUCCUUUUUUUAAUUAAUAGUUAAAAUAAUACGAUUCUUUUAUUAGUUUUGUUCUGUGUAGAUUUUCAACAUUUCUUUGGCAAAAAAAAAAAAAAAAAAGUUGUGAAUUUACAAAUUUCCUGUUCAAAUACAUGAGAAAGUGGCAGGUGAGGCACUGGCAUCAUAAAAGAUACUUUCAAGAGGUAGUGGUGUGGAUUUCCAAAAAAACUCACUCUGGAUUGGCAGGACUGGUUGUCAUAGAAACGUAUGAUAGCAACUCGGACCAAUCACUGCAAACUAACGUUCUCUGGCUUCAACAUGGCCGCGUCCAAAAUCGUGUUUUAAAAAAUUCAUUCACUCGUUCCGGUUCAAAACGAUUUGAAGAAAGAAAUCCUGUUUCGAUUGUAAAUUAAAUUAUUUAGGUUGUCUUUCGUGACAAAAUAUCUACAAGAACAUGUUAAAAACUGUUUAACAAACAGAGAACUCCACUGAAAACAUGGCUGUGAUCCAGUGAUGUGCAGUCAGGGGAGGAAGGUGAGGCACAGCAAAACCUGCAAAAUACAGCUUAGAAAACGAUUCAUUUCUUUUUUAGUUAAAGUAAAAAUAAUUCUGUUCUAUGAUUACUUUUUUGUGUAGAUUAUAAAACAUCUCUUUAGUAAAAAAAAAUUGUGAAUUUACAAAUUUCCGGCUCAAACACAUCAGGGCGGCAGGUGAGGCACUGGCAUUAGAAAAGGUGCUUUCCAGUAGUGGUGGUGUGGACUUCCAACAAUCUCGGUCCUGAUUGACACGACUGGUUGCCAUAGAAACGUGUCAGAACAACUCGGAUCAAUCCUUGAUAACAGACGUCCUUCAGUUUAAACAUGGCGGCGUCGAAAAUGUAGGAUUUUAAGAAAUAAAAGAAUCGACUUAACAGUUUUCUAGAAAAACUUCCCAUUAACUCCACUGACCAAUCAUCUGCUUUUUGGGCCCCCCGGGAAUUCUGGGUAGUUGUAGGAAAUCCGUUGGGGCCUUAAAUAAGAUUAAUGAUGCUUUUGCUUUAUUUACCCCGAUACUAAAAUUGUAUGACCGCAAAUUAAUUCUGAUUUAAUUUAGAUUCAUUGAAAGAUGUUGAUCAAUAGGCCGAUUCAAAAGGUCAAACCGAGGUUGACCCUCACACCCAGGUCUCUGAGUGCUGCUUCGAGGACAUCUGGCGUCUUCAUCAGCCCUUUGCUUGCGCCAGCACGCUCUUCCCAGACUCAUCUUUCCCAACUUUGAUUUUGUUUUUCGUUUCCUUCUCACGCCUCUGCCUCCCCUCGUACGCCUGCCUCCUCAGGUUCCCAGCGUGACACCUCCUCCUCGCCUCCUCCUCCAUUUGCCUCCUCAGCGUCCAGCGGAGCUGGUCUGACCCGACUCCCUGCCCCGCCUGCCUCCCGCGAGUGCGAGGAAGGGAUGAGAGGUCCGUGUUGCCCCGAGGGAAUGAAUUUGGUGAAAUCGUCAGUUUGUCGGAGCCGGCUCCUCCCGGCUCUCUUCGGCGGGAGCGCCGACCGGUCCGGCCCACCACAGAGUCAGGGCGUUGUCCUGCCGCACCUCCUGUUGGGAGAUGGCAGCCGCCCCUCCCUCGGUGUCGGAGGCAGACUCGCCCUCGCUGUCCUCAGGCCACGGGAACUGGCGCUGCCCGCUGGACGUCGCCAGGAGAGGCAUGAAGGGGUGCAAGCUGCAGAAGAAGAAAAGAGGCGGAGCUUAAACACUCAAAUAAAAGCUAAAAUAAAAAUGUUA